CAUCAGGGAUUUCAAUAAUUAAAAUUUACUCAAAUUAGGAGAUUCAAAAAAUAUAAUUGGGCAAUUAAUUAACCUCAAAUUAACUUGGCAGGGCCUAAAAAGAGAAAUCAGCCCAACUCUUUAAUCGCAGCCCAAUUUUAUUCCCUAACCCUGCAGAAAAGCCUCCAUCUUCCUCCCUUCUCUCUUUCUCUGCUUACACACCAGCCCACAGAAUUCUCUCUCUCUCUCCUCCUCAAUUUUGUUAUGUGCGCCGCUCCUCUGCACUCACCUCUAUCGCUAACCGACCAUAGCCCAAACACCUUCCUUCCUCUACAAAAAAGAAAAGAACUCAUGUUCAUAUCCAAUCUCCCAACUUCAAAAUUCCUGAAAUAAAAGGUUAGAUACACUCUAAAAGUAGCAAAAGUGAUCAAAUUGGACGUUAAUUAGAGAUUGUAAUUAGACGUUUCCUCUUCGAACAGCCUCAGCCUUUCAUUUCAUAUGGUUCUGCUUCGCUGUUGCCCUCUCCGUCAGCCUUGGAUGUCAUGGCCUAAGGUAUAGCGCAUGGGCAGCGUUCUAAAGAUUGCACUACAGCUGGAUGACUAACAUACUCCAUUUUUAUCACUUUCCCGCCAAAAUGCUGCCAGAGCUAAUUCACUCCAGAACGUUCUGACUCUCUCCAGCGCCCGCUGGGCAUGUUCGCGCACGACAACCUCUGUGUCUCUAGAUAGUAUUUGACGCUUAGUACAUGAUAGCCAGUUGCAAUUCUAUUCUCUGAGUUCGAUAUCCCGGUACUGACCUUUAUCCAUACUAUUUCUGCCUUGUAUACUUGCAAGUAGUUGUGGUGCUAAAAAAUAGUGCAUCAAUCCCAUAAAAAUAUGGGCAUAUCGAUUUAUGGAACUUUGUCCUCAACUUAUUACUGAUAUACAUCAAUUUAUUUACAACUUAUACUACUAGGACUCACCAUUAAAACUCAUUAAACACUAAUAAUAAUGCGGGUCUCACUAUACACUAGCACUACUU